rnacentral:rRNA from 1 species
CCUACGGGAGGCAGCAGUGGGGAAUAUUGCACAAUGGGGGAAACCCUGAUGCAGCGACGCCGCGUGGGUGACGAAGUAUUUCGGUAUGUAAAGCCCUAUUAGCAGGGAAGAAGAUGACAGUACCUGACUAAGAAGCCCCGGCUAACUACGUGCCAGCAGCCGCGGUAACACGUAGGGGGCAAGCGUUAUCCGGAUUUACUGGGUGUAAAGGGAGCGUAGGUGGCAUGGCAAGCCAGAAGUGAAAACCCUGGGCUUAACCCCGCGGAUUGCUUUUGGAACUGUCAGGCUUGAGUGCAGGAGGGGCAGGCGGAAUUCCUGGUGUAGCGGUGAAAUGCGUAGAUAUCAGGAGGAACACCGAUGGCGAAGGCAGCCUGCUGGACUGUAACUGACACUGAGGCUCGAAAGCGUGGGGAGCAAACAGGAUUAGAUACCCCAGUAGUC